GAAAAAAACUUUCUCUCUCCCUCCCUUMCUCUCCUCAUCGGAAAGUCCUAGAUCCAUAGGUUGCAACUGGAUUCUURUUUCUAUUUGUGUUUAUCACUUUUUUCCUGCUCUUAGCCCCUCUCCUCUCUCAUCUGGUAAUCAUUGACUCCAACCAACAUCUUUUAACUCGUCAUGGAAGAGAUCCCCUAGAACAAUGGACUCCCGAAUCCUUCUUUGCAUAACAGCCCAAAUCCUAACUUGUCGUUAAUUCGCACCGGAACUUUGGCGAUCGAAACCCUAACUUUCCCCUAAAUCCUUUGUUUGCAGAACAACCUUAACCCUAUCUCACUGUUAACCAGCAUCGGAAUUAAUGUCCACCAGCGUUUGAAACCUUGGGUUGGAAACUAAUCUGAAAUAACCCAAAGUAACACCCAUUUGCGUUUAACACCAUGGCGUUUGAAAAUAGAAUGCCCUCAAUUAUAUUUUAUUUUCGUUCUUUUCUUAUCUGAUUCUAAGAAAUACUAUUUUAGGUUUUUAGGGAAUUUUAUAGGAUUGACUCUAUUGUCAGAAAGAGUUUCCAUGGGUUCUUCAAUUGGUGCAUUUAGUUUUCAUGGCUUAUUCAAUUGGUGCGUUUAGUUCCUCUUCAGCGUUUGAUGGUUUAUCUUUGUGGGUUUACUUUAUUUAUUUUCUUUGGUUCCAUUAAUCUUUAGUUUAUCUUAUUUCUUUCUUUAUCUAAUUCUAAGAACAAUGUUUCAAGGCAGAGGAACACUCAGACGUGGCGAUUGUGGCGAAGAAUCAUUACGUUCGUUAAUGUUCAGUUCCCGCACUUAGAUGGUGUUCAGUUUCAUUACCCUUAUUCUCCUUUCCUAUUCAGACAAAAUGAAUAAAAUGGUUAAAAAAUAUCAUAAAAAUAAUUUUGUUAUUUUGAAAUUAUUUAAUGCAGACUUAAUAUUGGCACUGUUGAAUGAUAGUCAACUAAGWCAAAGAUAUAUUAGGCAUAAUUUGAAAAUUAAGGGUAUUAUAAACGACACGUUUUAAAAAUAAGGGACUGACUCGACACAACCCCAAAUUACAGGUACCGAUCAGAAAAUUUCCCUUUUCUUUUUUCAAUUUUCACCGUUCAGCUACUUUACUUCGGAUAUCAACGAGGGCUAACCGCGGAAAACUAGGAAGUCGAACACAUAAGAUCCCGGGAAUCGACUCAGAGAGGGAGAUGGUGAAAGCGUCGUAUAUGUGGCUAAAGAAGAGCCGGCGAUUAGGCACCUUCUCUCUCUGUUAUGCAUCCCGGUCAUCGUCGAUGACAUUCGACCCGACGAUACACGGCAAUACGGCAUGGCAUGCGUUCUUACGGGAUCUCAUUCCUUCGGUUGAUCGAGAAGAUCAGCGAUGAAGGUGUUGUAGAGAUCAGCGGAACCGGCAGUCUCUUGGAUUGGUGAAGGAAGGGUUAUGAGGAUUGGAGAAAAUCUUUAUCUACUAUGGUGUUUUCUCAGUUUGAGCGCUCUAUGAUGUGUUGCAUGGGAUCUUUACACAUCUGCUUCCUGAUGUUUAUAUUAGCAGUUGACCUUAGAAGAGGUACAGAAACUUGAAGAUAACUGGAAUUACAUGUUCCUUCUUCUGAUGGAGACAUUGAAACACUAAACAUAUCAGAGAUUUCUUUGGUGUCAAUCAUUAUUAAGCCAGACCCAACAAUAGAGACCAUCAUCUAUUGAUCAAAAAACAAUAGAGACCACCAUGCUCAAAUAUGUUGGAUGUGCGUUGAAGAAUCUCUCCAGAAAGUGCAAGAGUACAUUCUAGCAAGUUGAUGCUUGGGAUUAUUUUUAUUCUCAUGGCCCAGAUGAUAACUCAGAUGAUCCCAUUAGAGGCAUUUUAUGUUGUCAUAGCAUAUAAAUCGCCAGGGCRGAUAAUGCUAGGUUUUGCAGCACAAUAUCUGUGUGCAGUUUGAAAUGUGAUAUUUCAUGGCAGCACCUUUUUUUGGACCCAUGGAGGUAAGCAUUAACAUUCUCAUCAUUUGUCUCCAAAUUAAUUUCAUUUUGUUAUCAUAUACCUGACAUAAAAGUUUUGCACUAUGUGCAUUAGACCUAUUUUCUUUCAUUACUGUUAAUUAGAAAGUGCUUAUAUAUUUUCUUUGAUUAUUUUUUCUUUAUUUUCUUUGUUUCUUCCUGGUAGUUUUGUAGCCUUUGUUUUUGAAAAAAUCCUUUUUUGAUACGACGUUACCAACCUACAUCUCCCUACUCUGGGCAUCCUUAUUUUUAGUUGCUUCUUUAGUUCA